rnacentral:lncRNA from 1 species
AAUUUGCUAUAUUCCUCCAAACAGUGUUGCUUUUAUUUAUUUUUUUAGACUGUUUAAGCAGAUAGCUUGAUUGAACUCUAACUGCAGACUGUAUCUCUUGGUAAGCAGCUAAAAUCUCAGAUGAGCUUCUUCAUCCUUUUCAGGGAUACUUGCAGUCAAAAUGAAGAAAACAGAUAGUGGAUGUUUUUUCAGUUAUUUAAGUAUAAAUUUGGGACCUUCCGCUCUACUUUUAACUUAGUAAAAUUAGAUAUAAUUACAGUAACUCCUCAUCUCUUUUUGGAGAACAAGAAGUACCUUUUUUCCAAAAUGACAUUGAUUUAUUGUUUAUGUCCAAAUAAUUAAAUAACUGACAAAUUAAUUAGGAUAACCCAGUACACAUUCAAUGAGAGCACUUUAAUAAUUUAAAAUGCUGGUGUAAUUACACAGGAAAGCAUGCCUGAGGUGUCCUGGCAGAGCCCAAUUUAUGAAUUUCUAAAGUGAAACCAUUUUUUAUAAAUUGUUUUAGGGUCAACAUGCAAAGAAAACAC